GACGAACGCUGGCGGCGUGCUUAACACAUGCAAGUCGAACGGAAAGGCUCUGCUUUUGUGGGGUGCUCGAGUGGCGAACGGGUGAGUAACACGUGAGUAACCUGCCCUUGACUUUGGGAUAACUUCAGGAAACUGGGGCUAAUACCGGAUAGGAGCUCCUGCUGCAUGGUGGGGGUUGGAAAGUUUCGGCGGUUGGGGAUGGACUCGCGGCUUAUCAGCUUGUUGGUGGGGUAGUGGCUUACCAAGGCUUUGACGGGUAGCCGGCCUGAGAGGGUGACCGGCCACAUGGGGACUGAGAUAAGACCCAGGCUCCAAAGGGAGACAACAGUGGGGAAUCUUGCACAAUGGACGGAAGCCUGAUGCAGAAACGCCGCGUGCGGGAUGACGGCCUUCGGGUUGUAAACCGCUUUCGCCUGUGACAUAGGGUGAGUGACGGUAAUGGGUAGAGAAGCACCGGCUAACUACGUG
rnacentral:rRNA from 1 species